AGUGAACGCUGGCGGUAGGCCUAACACAUGCAAGUCGAACGGCAGCACAGUAAGAGCUUGCUCUUACGGGUGGCGAGUGGCGGACGGGUGAGGAAUACAUCGGAAUCUACUUUUUCGUGGGGGAUAACGUAGGGAAACUUACGCUAAUACCGCAUACGACCUACGGGUGAAAGCAGGGGAUCUUCGGACCUUGCGCGAUUGAAUGAGCCGAUGUCGGAUUAGCUAGUUGGCGGGGUAAAGGCCCACCAAGGCGACGAUCCGUAGCUGGUCUGAGAGGAUGGUCAGCCACACUGGAAGUGAGACACGGUCAAGACUCCUACGGGAGGCAGCAGUGGGGAAUAUUGGACAAUGGGCGCAAGCCUGAUCCAGCCAGACCGCGUGGGUGAAGAAGGCCUUCGGGUUGUAAAGCCCUUUUGUUGGGAAAGAAAAGCAGCAGGUUAAUACCCAGCUGUUCUGACGGUAACCAAAGAAUAAGCACCGGCUAACUUCGUG
rnacentral:rRNA from 1 species